AGUGAACGCUGGCGGUAGGCCUAACACAUGCAAGUCGAACGGCAGCACAGUAAGAGCUUGCUCUUACGGGUGGCGAGUGGCGGACGGGUGGGGAAUACAUCGGAAUCUACUUUUUCGUGGGGGAUAACGUAGGGAAACUUACGCUAAUACCGCAUACGACCUACGGGUGAAAGCAGGAGAUCUUCGGACCUUGCGCGAUUGAAUGAGCCGAUGUCGGAUUAGCUAGUUGGCGGGGUAAAGGCCCACCAAGGCGACGAUCCGUAGCUGGUCUGAGAGGAUGAUCGGCCACACUGGAACUGAGACACGGUCCAGACUCCUACGGGAGGCAGCAGUGGGGAAUAUUGGACAAUGGGCGCAAGCCUGAUCCAGCCAUACCGCGUGGGUGAAGAAGGCCUUCGGGUUGUAAAGCCCUUUUGUUGGGAAAGAAAAGCAGCAGGUUAAUACCCGGCUGUUCUGACGGUACCCAAAGAAUAAGCCACGGCUAACUUCGUG
rnacentral:rRNA from 1 species